ACGCGCGGGCGCUUAUCAUGCAGUCGAGCGAAGCUUUUCAGUAGUUUACUACAGAAAAUGACUGAGCGGCGACCGGGUGAGUACGCGUGAGCAAUCUACCUUAGUUACAGGGAUAGCCCGAGGAAACUCGGAUUAAUACCUGAUAUUCUUUAUUUCUCGCAUGGGAAUAAAAGGAAAGGUCAGCCGAACUAAGAUGAGCUCGCGUUCUAUCAGCUAGUUGGUGAGGUAAAAGCUCACCAAGGCUACGACGGAUAGCUGGUCUGAGAGGACGAUCAGCCACACUGGGACUGAGACACGGCCCAGACUCCUACGGGAGGCUGCAGCAGGGAAUAUUGCGCAAUGAGCGAAAGCUUGACGCAGCGACACCGCGUGUGGGAUGACGGAUCUAGGUUUGUAAACCACUUUCAGGAGGGAAGAAAAUGACGGUACCUCCACAAGAAGCCCCGGCCAACUACGUGCCAGCAGCCGCGGUAAUACGUAGGGGGCGAGCGUUGUCCGGAUUUAUUGGGCGUAAAGAGCUCGUAGGCGGUUCAACAAGUCGGUCGUGAAAGUUCAGGGCUCAACCCUGAAAUGUCGAUCGAUACUGUUGUGACUAGGAUACGGUAGAGGUGAGUGGAAUUCCGAGUGUAGCGGUGAAAUGCGUAAUAUUCGGAGGAACACA
rnacentral:rRNA from 1 species